rnacentral:rRNA from 1 species
AGUGAACGCUGGCGGUAGGCCCAACACAUGCAAGUCGAACGGCAGCACAGAGGAGCUUGCUCCUUGGGUGGCGAGUGGCGGACGGGUGAGGAAUACAUCGGAAUCUACUCUGUCGUGGGGGAUAACGUAGGGAAACUUACGCUAAUACCGCAUACGACCUACGGGUGAAAGCAGGGGAUCUUCGGACCUUGCGCGAUUGAAUGAGCCGAUGUCGGAUUAGCUAGUUGGCGGGGUAAAGGCCCACCAAGGCGACGAUCCGUAGCUAGUCUGAGAGGAUGAUCAGCCACACUGGAACUGAGACACGGUCCAGACUCCUACGGGAGGCAGCAGUGGGGAAUAUUGGACAAUGGGCGCAAGCCUGAUCCAGCCAUACCGCGUGGGUGAAGAAGGCCUUCGGGUUGUAAAGCCCUUUUGUUGGGAAAGAAAUCCAUCUGGUUAAUACCCGGGUGGGAUGACGGUACCCAAAGAAUAAGCACCGGCUAACUUCGUGCCAGCCGCCGCGGUAA